CCCUACGGGGCGCAGCAGGCGCGAAAACUUUACAAUGCUGGAAACAGCAAUAAGGGGACCUCGAGUGUCAGGUUACAAAUCUGGCUGUCGUGAUGCCUAAAAAGCAUUGCAUAGCAAGGGCCGGGCAAGACCGGUGCCAGCCGCCGCGGUAACACUGGCGGCUCGAGUGGUAACCGUUAUUAUUGGGUCUAAAGGGUCUGUAGCCGGCCGGAUAAGUCUCUUGGGAAAUCUGGCAGCUUAACUGUCAGGCUCUCAGGAGAUACUGUCUGGCUCGAGGCCGGGAGAGGUGAGAGGUACUUCAGGGGUAGGGGUGAAAUCCUGUAAUCC
rnacentral:rRNA from 1 species